rnacentral:rRNA from 1 species
UACGUAGGGGGCAAGCGUUGUCCGGAUUUAUUGGGCGUAAAGAGCGUGUAGGCGGCUUCACAGGUCCGCUGUGAAAACUCGAGGCUCAACCUCGAGAUGUCGGUGGAAACCGUGUGGCUAGAGUCCGGAAGAGGAGAGUGGAAUUCCCGGUGUAGCGGUGAAAUGCGUAGAGAUCAGGAGGAACACCGGUGGCGAAGGCGGCCUACUGGGCCAGCACUGACGCUGAGGCGCGAAAGCUCGGGGAGCGAACGGG